rnacentral:ncRNA from 1 species
GAGAAGUUUUAUUCUUGCUUUGUCAUUCAUUUUUUGUUUGUUUUAUAUGUAAGUUUGUGCGUGAUUUUUCCUUUGUUCUAAAUGGUUAUGGGGUUUUAUGGAAGGUGUUAUUCUCAUUAGUUGUUAUUGGUUGGUCAAGUAUCUUUGUAAUUAGCAAUUUAUUUUAGUUUCGGUUAAAUUUUGUGCCAGCAGCCGCGGUUAUACCUUGGAGGCGUUUGAAUGUGUUCGGCAUUUUGUGUAGUUGUAUGAUUUAUUUUAGUUGAUUUUAUUUUUAUGGUUUGUAGGUGAAAUUUUUAUUGUUGUUUAUUAUCUUUUGUUUAUUUGGAGGCUAUGAAAUCUUUUUUGUAGACUAGGAUUAGAUACCCUAUUAUUUUUGGACGUUAAUAUUGUUGUGUCUGAGUAGUAUUAGUUAUGUUCUUGAAACUUAAAGAAUUUGGCGGUAUCUUAUUCCAUCCAGAGGAAUCUGUCUCGUUAUCGAUAGUCCGCGUUGGACCUUACUUGGUUGUUAUUGGUUUGUAUACCGCCGUUUAUUGAUUAUCUUUUGUAGAGUUGUUUUUAAUUUUCUGGUUUCUUUAUUUUGAUUUAUUUCAGGUCAAGGUGCAGCUUGUUUCUAAGUGGAUGAUGGAUUACAUUGUUAUUUGUUUUGCUUGGAUUGUUGGUUUUAAUAUUGACAUGAAAUUGGAUUUGGUUGUAAUGUUUUGUAGAUUGUUUUCAUGAUAAUUGGUUCUGGGAUAUGUACACAUCGCCCGUCGCUCUCGUUUGUUUUAAUGAGAUAAGUCGUAACAAAGUGGUUGUACCGGAAGGUGCGGCUGGGAUUGA